GUUUUCAAUUUAACAGCACAUAUACUAGAAUCAGACUGACAUGGAGAAGAUUAUGAUGUCGCCUGCACAAGGAUGACAUUCAAAAUCCUGAAUUGUUUAAUAUUUUU
ensembl:snRNA U6 U6 spliceosomal RNA